rnacentral:lncRNA from 1 species
UGAUUAUUGUUAGCUCACGUGUUUUGUUCAUCUCCAUACCCCCCAGUACUGGGAUAUAACCUCCUCACCCCUCUCUCCCCAGCAGGAUUAUUCUCAAGAAAUGUCUAGACACUGUGGUCAGUUUUCUGCUCUUCCCACGGCAGUGGCCUCCUCCACUGUCUUCUGCGAGCUCAACCAGAACAACUUUUCAACCCAACAUUAGCCGUGAUCAUUUUCUCCUUUCCCAACUGUAAGCCAGUCCAACAGGCUGGGCCAACAGAGAUAAGGAAGAUGAGGUUCACAGAGUUGAAACAUUUGUCUAAAGGUCAUGCAGGCAGGCAGAGGAGCAGCUGGAGGAUUCCAAACCCAUUGUAAUAUGUUCAUUAAACACCUACAUUCCACAAGGUUCAUCCACCUUUCCGGGAUUUCCAAACCUGCACAAACAAACUUCAACGAAGUUGAGACUGGCACUCUGUGCUGCCCCAGUUUGGCAGUCACAGCUUCCGCUUUGCAAUUGAAGUUCCAUUGACUUUGGACAUGGUCUAGUUAUGGGGAGCUGAGUAUGUCCUGUGUGCUAGGAUCCCUUGUGACACGCUGACACUGGAGAUUUUUCUGCACUUACUCAAGGGGUUUCUUGGCACUAUUGGGCAUUGCUCAUUCGACACGGGGUACCGUAGAGUGAUGGGACCAUCUGCUCCAGCUGUACAGCACAAUGCCCAAUUCAGGGCCAAUCGUUAGUCAGAUGGCACAUGGCUCUGACUAAGCUGAUUCUGCGUGUCUCACAGGAUGCCAUGAAGCGGACUGACCUUUUACAGCAUGAGCUGGUACAUUCCAUUGUUGGAUUUUUUUGCUUCAGGCCUCUGCCAAAGUAAAGCUGUAGGAGGAAGAAAGGAAAAUCCAUAACGGAGUCCUCCCAGCUCAGUGGAAAGGAGAGCUGGCAGAAAAGCCACAAACAUGGGGGCAAGUUGUUCAUGUGCCACUGAGACGUCCUUGGGCAAAAGCAUGAAAUAGGAAGAACACUAAUACCAUCUCUAUGAUUUGCUUCAAAAGAGGUUGUAAACAUUCCUUCAGUGAAUAGACAAAUCCUUUGAAAACUAAAAUGCCUAACACAAAACAAGGUGUUCCCAGAAUUCUCUGGAUCCUUUGGAGCUAUGUUUGACACAGAAAUGUGGCACAGACUGAAAAGGGUAAAUACGGGCUCAGAGUCUUCACUGCGUCUUCCGGAGCAUGGACCAAGGAUAACAUAAUAGAGGUAUAAAUAACAUGAUGGAGGUAAAAACGCUCACGAAUAGUUCUUGAUGCUUACUACUAGACUCCUGGCAGCAAAAAAGAUGCCUGCCUGCCUGCUGUGUUGCUUCAGUUGUGUCUGACUCUUAGCUACCCUUGGACUAUAACCUGCCGGGC